AUGGUUGGACGAAAUAUACUUUCUUUAUUUUAUAUAAAUUAAUUAAUUUUUUAGUUAAAAAGCUAAGAUUUUUUUAUAGGACGAGAAGACCCUAUAGAACUUUAUUUUCUACAUAUAUAUAUUUUAUAGAUUUUUAAAAUAUUAUAUAUUAAUAGUUAAUUUAAUUGGGGUGAUUGAAAAAAUUAUAUAACUUUUUCUAUUUNUAUCAUUUAUUUAUGAUGUUUUU
rnacentral:rRNA from 1 species